CGAGAGAUAGUAUAAUUAGUAGAUUACAUGACGCUUACAACGUCAAAAUAAGAGGUUUGCUCUUUCUCUUGA
rnacentral:tRNA from 1 species